GUGCUUACUUUGCAGCAAAUAUACUAAAACUGGAAUGAUACCAAGAAGACUAGCAUGGUCCCUGCACAAGGAUAGCUUAUAAAUGUGUGUGUGUAGAAGCAAAUGUGU
ensembl:snRNA U6 U6 spliceosomal RNA